UUAAUAAACUCCAUCUUUAUAAAAGUGUGUCACGUGGAUCUCAGUUGCUUCAGCAGGAGUUUCUCUUUUUGAUGAACACCUGCAG